UACGUAGGGGGCAAGCGUUGUCCGGAUUUAUUGGGCGUAAAGAGCGUGUAGGCGGCUUUACAGGUCCGUUGUGAAAACUCGAGGCUCAACCUCGAGACGCCGGUGGAAACCGUAAGGCUAGAGUCCGGAAGAGGAGAGUGGAAUUCCUGGUGUAGCGGUGAAAUGCGCAGAUAUCAGGAGGAACACCUAUAGCGAAGGCAGCUUGCUGGGACGUUACUGACGCUAAGGCGCGAAAGCGUGGGGAGCGAACAGG
rnacentral:rRNA from 1 species